GACGAACGCUGGCGGCGUGCUUAACACAUGCAAGUCGAACGGAAAGGCUCCAGCUUGCUGGAGUACUCGAGUGGCGAACGGGUGAGUAACACGUGGGUAAUCUGCCCUGCACUCUGGGAUAAGCCUGGGAAACUGGGUCUAAUACUGGAUAUGACCUUUCUCCUUAUGGGGUUUGGUGGAAAGUUUUUCGGUGUAGGAUGAGCCCGCGGCCUAUCAGCUUGUUGGUGGGGUGAUGGCCUACCAAGGCGACGACGGGUAGCCGGCCUGAGAGGGCGAUCGGCCACAUUGGGACUGCGAUACGGCCCAGACUCCUACGGGAGGCAGCAGUGGGGAAUAUUGCACAAUGGGCGGAAGCCUGAUGCAGCGACGCCGCGUGCGGGAUGACGGCCUUCGGGUUGUAAACCUCUUUCAGCAGGGACGAAGCGUAAGUGACGGUACCUGCAGAAGAAGCACCGGCUAACUAUGUG
rnacentral:rRNA from 1 species